rnacentral:rRNA from 1 species
GAUGAACGCUGGCGGCGUGCCUAACACAUGCAAGUCGAACGAACCUGAUCUUCGGAAAAGGUUAGUGGCGCACGGGUGAGUAACACGUAGGUGACCUGCCCUGGAGUGGGGGAUAACUUCUCGAAAGAGAGGCUAAUACCGCAUACGCUCGGCCAUUCAGUUGGUUGAGUAAAGCUCCGGCGCUCCAGGAGGGGCCUGCGUCCGAUUAGCUAGUUGGUGAGGUAAUGGCUCACCAAGGCGAUGAUCGGUAGCUGGUCUGAGAGGACGAUCAGCCACACUGGCACCGACACACGGGCCAGACUCCUACGGGAGGCAGCAGUGAGGAAUAUUGGUCAAUGGGCGAAAGCCUGAACCAGCAACGCCGCGUGAGGGAUGAAGGCCUCGGUCGUAA